rnacentral:miRNA from 14 species
UGUGUGUAUGUGUGUGUCUGUGUGUUUAUGUAUGUAUGUGCACACACACACACACACACACACACACACACACACACACACACACAUAU